rnacentral:rRNA from 1 species
GCAGAGACUACAUCUCGUACCUUUUGCAUCAUGAUCUAGCCAGUAACCUNCAAGCAAAGAGACCUCUAGUUUGAACCCCCGAAACCGGACGAGCUACUCCGGGGCAGCCUAUUAUAGGGCCAACCCGUCUCUGUGGCAAAAGAGUGGGAAGACCCCCGAGUAGAGGUGAAAGACCUACCGAGUCAGGUUAUAGCUGGUUGCCCAAGAAAUGAAUAGAAGUUCAGCCCCGCCACGCCCUUACCCACAACAGUUUUACUUAAACAAGGCAUAAAGGACACCCGCGGGAGUUAGUCAAGGGAGGUACAGCUCCCUUAACAAAGGACACAACCUUAAACAGGAGGCUAAGGAAUAUAUUAAACUAAGGCCCUAGGUUUCAGUGGGCCUAAAAGCAGCCACCUGAACAGAAAGCGUUAAAGCUCAGACCAAUCCAAGCCUAUUAUAACAUUAAAAUAUCCAAAGCCCCCAGUAUUACUGGGCCAUCCUAUGCCCCCAUAGGAGGGACCAUGCUAGAACGAGUAAUAAGAAGAAAGACCUUCUCCCAGCACAUGUGUAAGUCGAACCGGACACCCCAUCGACAGUUAACGAACCCAACAAGAGAGGGUAGUACACCACCGCCACCCCAGGCCAAGAAGACCAUGUAAUAGAACAUCGUUACCCCCACACAGGAGUGCUUAAAUCAAGGGAAAGACUUAAAGGAUAAAAAGGAACUCGGCAAACCAAAACCCCGCCUGUUUACCAAAAACAUCGCCUCCUGCCACCACUAAUUAUAGGAGGUCCCGCCUGCCCUGUGACCAAAAGUUUAACGGCC